CUAAAACAGGAACAGAUUUACAUCCUUGACCAGAUGCAGAGGCAGUAUUCAUCUCGAGCUGCAACUAGAAGAUGGCUUGUUGUGUUUUAUGCU